GACAAACGCUGGCGGCGUGCCUAAGACAUGCAAGUCGAACGGGGGCUUCGGCUCUAGUGGCGGACGGGUGAGGAACGCGUGACUGACCUGCCUUUUGGUGGGGGAUACCACCCAGAAAUGGGUGUUAAGACCGCAUACGAUCGCUUGGGUAGACCGGGUGAGGAAAGCCUUCGGGUGCCGAAAGAGGGGGUCGCGUCGGAUUAGCUAGUUGGUGGGGUAAUGGCCUACCAAGGCAGUGAUCCGUAGCUGGUCUGAGAGGACGGCCAGCCACACUGGG
rnacentral:rRNA from 1 species